GAACAUUUUCACUGCAGCUUGGUAGCUAAUGUUUUUUACUUUAUUUUUUUGCUACGGCAGGUAUUAUGUUCCAAGAUAUUACUACGUUCUGCUUCACUGGUCAAUGAUGUGUUUCUUGCCGCCAUAUCAUUCAUGUCUACCUUUUUUUUUUUUGCAGUUGAAAAAUAAGAGUAGUAAGCAUGGGAUUGAUGAGUGUUUCUGGGUUUUGUUUUUAUGUUCCUGGUGUUGGAAGUUUUAAGUUCUGUUCUGUUUUUUGGCAAAUUUCCUCAGUUUUUGUGUGGAUUACGGUUUUAUUUUUUAUUUUGUUCUUUUUUAUUAUUUUUUCCUUUUAAUCUCUUUGCAGGAAAUCGUGCCACUUGAGGAAGUUUUCCAGAAUCUACUGAGGAGAGGCUGAUCAUCUUUGGCCACCACAAACUUGAGGAGAAGAAGAAGAUUAAGGUUUUGAAGUUUUUAGGAUUUAUGUGGAAUCCUCUUUCAUGGGUCAUGGAAGCUGCAACAAUCAUGGCCAUUGCUUUGGCCAAUGGAGGAAGUAUCAUCUCGGGCAGCUCAAGGCAAAACUAGCAAAACUGAGGACACAAUUAUUGGAGCCUCCAAAAGUAUGAUGCUAUUUAUACUGUUUAUUUCAUACUGCAAUUUUACUUUUUAAAUUAUAAAGUUUA